UACGAAGGGGGCAAGCGUUGUUCGGAAUUAUUGGGCGUAAAGGGCGCGUAGGCGGCCUGCUAAGUCGAACGUGAAAUCCCUGGGCUCAACCCAGGAACUGCGUCCGAUACUGGUUGGCUUGAAUCCGGGAGAGGGAUGUGGAAUUCCAGGUGUAGCGGUGAAAUGCGUAGAUAUCUGGAGGAACACCGGUGGCGAAGGCGACAUCCUGGACCGGUAUUGACGCUGAGGCGCGAAAGCCAGGGGAGCAAACGGG
rnacentral:rRNA from 1 species